UCAAAGGAAUUGACGGGGCCCGCACAAGCGGUGGAGCAUGUGGUUUAAUUCGAAGCAACGCGAAGAACCUUACCAGGUCUUGACAUCCCCUGACAACCCGAGAGAUCGGGCGUUCCCCCUUCGGGGGACAGGGUGACAGGUGGUGCAUGGUUGUCGUCAGCUCGUGUCGUGAGAUGUUGGGUUAAGUCCCGCAACGAGCGCAACCCUCGACCUUAGUUGCCAGCAUUCAGUUGGGCACUCUAAGGUGACUGCCGGCUAAAAGUCGGAGGAAGGUGGGGAUGACGUCAAGUCCUCAUGGCCCUUAUAGGUGGGGCUACACACGUCAUACAAUGGAUGGUACAAAGGGUCGCCAACCCGCGAGGGGGAGCCAAUCCCAUAAAGCCAUUCGUAGUCCGGAUCGCAGUCUGCAACUCGACUGCGUGAAGUCGGAAUCGCUAGUAAUCGUGGAUCAGAAUGUCACGGCGAAUACGUUCCCGGGUCUU
rnacentral:rRNA from 1 species